rnacentral:rRNA from 1 species
GAUGAACGCUAGCUACAGGCUUAACACAUGCAAGUCGAGGGGAAACGACAUCGAAAGCUUGCUUUUGAUGGGCGUCGACCGGCGCACGGGUGAGUAACGCGUAUCCAACCUGCCCAUCACUUGGGGAUAACCUUGCGAAAGUAAGACUAAUACCCAAUGAUAUCUCUAGAAGACAUCUGAAAGAGCUUAAAGAUUUAUCGGUGAUGGAUGGGGAUGCGUCUGAUUAGCUUGUUGGCGGGGUAACGGCCCACCAAGGCAACGAUCAGUAGGGGUUCUGAGAGGAAGGUCCCCCACAUUGGAGCUGAGACACGGUCCAAACUCCUACGGGAGGCAGCAGUGAGGAAUAUUGGGCAAUGGGCGAGAGCCUGAACCAGCCAAGUAGCGUGCAGGAAGACGGCCCUAGGGGUUGUAAACUGCUUUUAUAAGGGAAUAAAGUGAGAGUCGUGACUCUUUUUGUAUGUACCUUAUGAAUAAGGACCGGCUAAUUCCGUG